AGAGGCGAAUGUCUCUAGUUAGUCGGCCGACUUCCACAUGCAAAAAGGAAAAAGUUGUUAGUUCCCUUUUUCUUAAUAUAUUCCAAUCAUGGCCCACUGCUGUCAAAGUUCUUCCGGUGCUGGUCCUCGUCCUUGUUUACUCAAGGUUUAAUUUCGACCAAGACGUUUAAACGGUUUAAUCAUUCCUAGGGAACGUAUCUCAACAAUUUUUAUCGGAGUUUAAAAUGAAUUUAAUGAUCGCUACAAUUAGUAAGUCGCGAAAUCUGGAUACACAUUAUUUUUAAAAAAAUUUAAAUUAUAGUUGCACAGAUUGACCAACAUUUAACAUUUGACCUACAUCCAAGAUGUGUGCCUCCUAAUAUCAAUCUCAAAAAUAUUUGUUUCAGCUAGUUUCAUUUUGUUUAUGCUGUACUCUAAUUCGCCGUGUUGCGGCUAAAUUUAAUUAUGCACUAAAAAAACUGGUUCAUUGCUGGUUUUUAUUUUAUUUUUUAUGGCGCACCGUUUUUUGUUCGGAAAUCCUUGUUCCAGAAUGAAACUAAACUCGCUCACUGAAAUCGAGAUAGCAGUAUCGAUAUGGCUUCGUCUUAUUACCAACUCUCAGAUUCAAAAGUAUUGCGGAUUUAACUGACUAGGUAUCCCUGUCUCAUAAGUUGAUCUCAAUAACCCCCCUCCCCACCUAAAAAGAAAAAGAAAAUUCUAAUCAAAUUAGGUCAAACGAAAUAUAUAUAUUUUACCUUGAAAUACAAGUUGAUCUUUCCACUUUCUUUUUAUUAGUGUUGAUUACUGAGCUAGACGGCACUUUCCGCUUCAAGGAUUAUUUUAUUCGUGCCAUGUAGGUGGUGCAACAGAAAAUUUAUUUAGCUCCGGAGCCAAGGGCUUGGGAGGCGUUAUAGGAUUAUUUCAGGUAGAAACAGUCUGACUGCAUUACUGGCAACACCGCUUCCAAAAUCCAAACCUCACGUUCGUCUGCAACGGUCCAUAACUCUACACUAGUACACUUUGCAUUGUUUUUGUUUGAAAAAUUGUUAGGCCACAGCACAGAUGGUGAGGGCAUGGUAUUGUUAUCCAAUACCGACUAAUAUGACUGGAGAUCAAUUUGAAAUUUGAAUAUCUUGCCAACUAUAACUUCCUUUAUAAAAUUUGAGAUAUCUUUCUGAUUGACUGCCUUCUGCUGGUUACUUUGUUGCAGCCAGCUUGCGAAUGGUGUUCUUUUUGCAGGCUUGCUACCUGUACUGGAUGUAACUUUUAUCACAUACUGAAACAACUCUAAAGCAGCAUGUUGUAGAUCUUUCCUUUCUCCACGUGGUUACUGCCAUGUCAUGAAGAUGCAUGUUUGAGAGGGUCUCUACUAUAUUGUAAGACAAAAGUGUGACGAAAACAGAAAAUCUGAAAUGGUGUUCAUUGUCAGUUUGGUGUACAGUGGUUUUGCAGUCAUUUUCCAGUUGAGAGAUGUGCUGAAAUGGAGCUUGUGCACACUUGCAGUUCAACAUCUACUUCAAUGGGUCAUUUGCUUAUGUUGGUCCCCAUGCAGUAUAUGCAGUGUUGAAUGUGCAGUUGGGUAAAAUAGUCAAUGUUCUGUCGGGUUUAUUUUAUCAGCUGCGUUUUUUCGAUCUGUCUUGCUACAGGCGUUGAGUUCAAUCGUUUGCUGCCGUUCCAUUCCAUAGACUUGAUCCAUUGGUGAAACUGAGGUUGCUGAAAUUAAAGACUCGUCAAUAAAUUAUGAGGAAGUAGUUAAAAUUGCAAGUGCAUAUCUGGGCUCCCUUCUUCAGUGGCCUCGUUUCCCUAACUAACCACUAACCAACGCCCGCCGGUGGUCACUCACUCGCUGCGACAACCAGGAGGAAGGGUCUGGUCGAACGGGGACUUGUAAGGCGCAUGAUUCGAUUAAAUCUGUUGGAGGGUCAUGAGUCUAAGCCGCAAACCUACUAUGAUGCAUUGGUCUCAUAAUAGCUGCUCCUGCGGCUCUUUUCGCUCUUUUUCCGGUUUCUCUUAACCACGGCCGGGUAAUCUCCCUGGUAGAGUCAGUCGGGCAGUGUCUCCCCCUGCUUGACUGGCUGCAGUUUGUACCGGACGGUUUGUUUAAUAAAUAAAACAAGUAUAAAAAACCA